rnacentral:rRNA from 1 species
CCUACGUGAGGCAGCAGUGGGGAAUAUUGCGUAAUGGGCGAAAGCCUGACGCAGCGACGCCGCGUGAGGGAUGAAGGUCUUCGGAUCGUAAACCUCUGUCAGCAGGGAAGAACGGUCACUGUGCUAAUCAGCAGUGAAUUGACGGUACCUGCAAAGGAAGCACCGGCUAACUCCGUGCCAGCAGCCGCGGUAAUACGGAGGGUGCGAGCGUUAAUCGGAAUUACUGGGCGUAAAGCGCUCGUAGGCGGUAUGUCAAGUCAAGGGUGAAAUCCCCGCGCUCAACGUGGGAACUGCCUUUGAAACUGGCAAACUGGAGUGUGUGAGAGGAAAGUGGAAUUUCAGGUGUAGGAGUGAAAUCCGUAGAUAUCUGGAGGAACAUCAGUGGCGAAGGCGACUAUCUGGCACAUAACUGACGCUGAGGAGCGAAAGCGUGGGUAGCAAACAGGAUUAGAUACCCGGGUAGUC